GUAUUGAUUGCGUGUGACCGCAAAAACAAAACAUUCUAGACUGUAUCGAAUUUUGUGUGAAAACGUGAGCUCCUUUUGCAAAAAGAAGACCCACGCGGUGAUGCACAAAGGGGUGAGAUGGAUGUGUGAGGGCACUCGGGCGUGCACAACCUUUGAAAGGUUAGCGACAGCCUUUGCACCCCCGUUUUACGAUAAUGAUCCUUCCGCAGGUUCACCUACGGAAA
rnacentral:misc_RNA from 1 species